rnacentral:lncRNA from 1 species
UAGCAAUGGGGAACUGUUUUUAAAUUAAACUCCAAUGGAAUUCUAAGACAUCUAAGACUUGUAUUUUGUAGCAGUCCCAAGGUUUAACAUUUGACUAAAAUCUUAGCAACUGAAGCAAUCCUCUAGGUAUAAAUUGGAGAGCUAUUGCAAAGCUGUCAAAAAGGAAACAUCUUGACAACUGUCUGGCAGGCUUGAGUUUUGGAUGAAGCAACCACUUUUUAUCUUGCCUCCAACAGCAUCUGAUACCUUGUGCAACAUAGUUGCUAAGUUUCUUCUUCCUUUCUUCUCUCCAUCCUUAUUUCUACACACCCCCUUCCCCAGACACAGAACCACACUUGCAGCUACCCCGGGUGGCACAGCACCUCCAUUGUGGACCAGACCAGACCUCAUGGGGAUAGUGCACCUGUUUCCUGUUUGGGAGAACACCAUGCCACCCCAUCUCUGCCUGCAGAUCCCGGCUCCCUACCUGAAGAAAGUGCCUCACCAGCAAGGUGCAUGAUCGUCCACCAGGGCACCAUUCUGGACAAUGUUAAGAACCUCUUAGAAUUUGCAGAAACACUCCAGUUUAUAGAUUCUGUAAGUAGAAUUGCUAAGGCACGUUGAUGUUUCUGGAAGAGGAAUUGAGAAUUGGUAUAGCAUAAAUCAUUGCCAUUUUCUAUAGCAAAUACGGUUUGGUCCUACAUUCAUGUAAAGUGAAAGACUUAGCUUUUACGAUUCCACUUCUCUCAGUGGUCUUGAUUUUGUAGGCUACCCACCCAAAAUUGUUUGCCUUCCAGGUGUGAAUUAAUGAAGUUCUGACUUACCACAAAGGGCUCAGAAUGAGAGCUGUGUCUGAACUAUUUUAACAAAUUUCUUAUAUAUUUUGCUUACUUCUUUGUGAUUCUCUAGAAAAUUUCUUUGUUGUUUUGGUUUUGCUUGCUUUUUGUUUUGUUUUGUCUGUUUUGGGACAGCACAUUUGGACUUACGUUUCCUCGUAACCUUAAGCUUUCAGUUCAAGGGUGGGGCAUAUAGAUCUCUCUACAGCAUACUGUAAAUUGAUUGACAAUCAUAGUAACACCAAAAUAAACCAUCUUGAACCAUCUUGAGUGAAACAAAUUUGAGUUCAGCAGUCACUCAGUUCAUUUUCUUGGUCUCCUAAUUGGUUAAAAAGCACUUAUUCCCUUCACACGGGACAGGGCCAGCUAUUGCCAUAAUGUAUCAUCUAGAAAUGUUUUCUGUUUGCUUUAAAUUGCAUGCAAAAGAGAGUGCCUGAGCUCUCCACAGCAGAUGUGCAAGACAACCCAUGCACCGCUGUAAUCCCUGAGCUAGAAAGCAGGCAGGCAGGCAGGCAGGCCCAGCGUUUUCGUCCAUUGCUCUUUCAGUGCUGUGUUUGGGUGAUGGUGGCGCUGUCACUUGCAUACCAUCUCAGAAGCUCUGUGCCUCCCACGUUGUUUCAGGAUUCUUCGUGGUGUGAUCUCAGCAGUUUUGAAUUCUCUGAAGAAGCGGCAGCUUUUUCACCUAGCCAGCAGCCCACAGGCAAAGCCUUCCAGCUUCAGCAAAGAGAGGGCCAUGGGACUAGAUCUGCAGGAGAGCCUAGCCUGAGGGUGACCAGGCGAGUGCUGAGCGAGGCAUCCCUCGGCCCAGACUCACCCCAAGCGAGGCACAGCAAGGUUCCGCUGGUCGUCCUACGAAAAAGGCGGGGCCAGGCCAGCCCCCUAGCCGCUGGAGAGCCUAGCCCCUCCCUCUUUGCUGACGUCAUCAGCUCAACUCUCAAGCGUUCCCCUGUCAAAAGCCUACCCUUCUCUCCCUCGCAGGUAGAGCACAAUUUCUGCACAGCUGUUACUAAUUUUCAGCAUACACCCGAGCCUUAAUAAUUAGAAACUAAUCUAAAUUUGAACAAAUGACUAAUGACUGCCGUCCUGGCAGAUUUAAUUCCGCGUUCAAUCUCACUGGGGUAGAGGUGGCUAGCUUCCUGGCAUUUGGGCUGACACACUGGUGAUUUUGUCGCAUCUCUUUCUCUCGAAGUCUUGGUGUUUUGGAAAAUGGACAGAAAGUUGCAUGGGAUGUGUUUCCAUUUCCCUUUUCACUACAUUUCCCUUUUUCCGUCCCUCCCCUCUUCUCCCUUGUCAUCCUUGCCUCUUCACAUUUUAACACGAUGUCUGCCUCUUUGUUCAUUGACUACUAAGUGAUUUACUGACCCUGGGGAGGAGGGAACCAAAUUAUGAUUACAUAACAUUUGGAUUACAACUAGAAAAUGAACCACUAUGCCCCUUUUCUAAGUGAGGAUGUUUACUGAGAUGAUGAAAAAGAGAUGCUUCUGCAAAAUAAUUUAACAUUUUCAACACUGGGUCUUUUAAAUUCUGCUAUGGGAUUUUGCUAAGGUACCGUUUUCCAAAGAAUACCCUUACUUCAUAUAGUGUUCUUAAGGUAUAUAACACUAUAAUGCUUAGCAGAGCCACGUGCUUUCCAAAUUAUAAUUAAGAGACAAUUUGGCUCCUUAAAUUUUUUUCCCAAUUAUAUCCGUUGAAGAUUUGGUACUUUGUUUUACUUUACUUCAUUUUAGUAGUAGUAGUAAUAGUAGUAGUAGUAGUAGUAGUAGUAGUAGUAGUAGUAUUGUGGUUCUUAGAAUCUAACCUGGAGCCUCAUGUGUGCUAGGGAAGUGCCCUACCACUGAGCUAUACAUAUUUCUGGACUUGUUUUUAAAAGAACUUUAAGUAUAGACAAAUGAUCCCCCCAUUCCCC